CAGUAGGUUUUUAAUUGAAAUCUUGUAUGAAGGGUUGAAUAAAAUAUUAACUGUCUCAAAAAAAUUUUUAUAGAAUUUAAUUUUUUAGUAAAAAAGCUUAAAUAAUAUUUAAAGACGAGAAGACCCUAUAGAGUUUAAUAUAAUAAUUUUUUAUUUAUUUAUUUAGAAAUAAAUUUAAAAUUUAAUUUUUAUUAUAUUUUAUUGGGGUGAUAGUAAAAUUUGUGUAUCUUUUAUUUUUGUUUUACAUUGAUUAUUGAAUUUUUUGAUCCAGUUUUAUUGAUUAUAAGAUUAAAUUACCUUAGGGAUAACAGCGUAAUUUUUUUGGAGAGUUCUUAUCAAUAAAAAAUUUUGC
rnacentral:rRNA from 1 species